rnacentral:lncRNA from 1 species
AUUAUUUUUUUUAUUGUUUUAAGUUGGAAAUAGUUUAAAAUAUUUUAGAACGUGAUAUUUGGCAACAAUUACUCACAAGGGAAAUGAGAAACUGAUAUUAAAGCCUUGCGAGAUUCCGAUUGGCAUUUCGGUUAAUGAAUGUCUAUCGGGACAUCGCGACGGUUGUCACUGGCUCGAGGGGAGUAUCGGGUCAUGACACUGGUCCACGGAAACCCGCCACUGCAGUGAAUAAUCAAAAUCCCACCAAAUCAAUAAAAGUUUUGACAACAUGACAUGGCAAUUAUAUUACUACCCAGCCUGUUAAGGCAAAACAAACAAUUCAUACAAUUUCAACACAAUUUCCAAUUCAGCCAUGCAUGGUAAUAUCACCAUAAGCCAUUCAAUUUAAACCAUAAAUUUACAACACAAUCAAACAGUCCCCAAUUACUCAAUUUCUAAACUCAUCAUUCAAUUUCAAAAUGAUUUAUAAAACUUAUUUCAUUUAAUCACAUUUUACUUAUAAAACAUAAGGAUUUACCAUUUAAACUCAUUUUUCUAUAAAAUCACAAAAACGAAUAAAAACUACUUUAGAUAAUUAAGAUGAUAAUAAAGUUACUCACAAUAUCGAGAAUCGAGGUACUCCUAAUCUCGAUCUUUGGGCACAAUCUCCUUAUCCUUAUCGAAAGUUUCACCACCUAGACAUAAUGCACAACAAGCAAUUUACUAUAUUUGUGCUAAAUCGUUACAAAACUAAUUUAGAAUCUAUAUGAAUGCAUGAAAUGGAAUGUGAAAUGUUUGGAUUAUUAUCUAAAUACGGUGUUCUAUGUAGGUUCAAUUGUGUAUGGAGCUAAAAUGGUAUUGACCUAAUUCACACUACACACCGGUUAAUUAGCCAAAAUAUCCAGUUCAACUCCAAAUAAAUUCAUUUCACUUUCAAUACUCCAAAUCAUCAAAUAUAAGCUAGAUAACAUGAAUUAUAGCAAAAUCAUCCUCAACAUUUUCUCUUGGAAAAAUUCAGCCAUGGAGGGUUCAUGAAUAAUAUGUCGUUUUACAUGCUUGAUUUUUACACUUUACAUCAUAAAACAAUUAAAAAUACCUAAAUAGCAUGAAAUUCAUCAAAGUCCAUUUUCCAAUUUCUCUCUUGAAAAAUUUAGCUAAUGGGUGUAGGUGAAGGGCAUGAAAUUUCUUGUUUGUUUUCCAUGCUAAACAUCACCAAAUAACCAAAAACACUUGAAUAACAUGAAAUCUAGCUAAAUCCAAGAUCAAAACCCCUCCUCCCAUGUCCGGCCAACAAAGGUAUCUUCAUGCAAACUUGAUUCUCAACCAUGGAAAAUGAAAAAGAAUGCAUAGGAAAGAUAGAUCACAAGCUAAAAUCAAGAAAUUUUACCUUUACUGGCUUAAUUCCUUGAAAUCCACUAAUUUUCCCUUGAAUUUUUGCUCACUAGGGUUUAUUCUCUUCUUUUUUCUCUUUGUUCUUGUCUUAGCCGACCAUGAAGAAUGAAA